UACGAGCGGCCCAAACGUUAUUCGGAAUUACUGGGCUUAAAGAGUUCGUAGGCGGCGCAACAAGCGGGGUGUGAAAGCCCUCGGCUCAACCGAGGAAUUGCGCUCCAAACUGUUGUGCUUGAGGGACCUAGAGGUGAGCGGAACUGAUGGUGGAGCGGUGAAAUGCGUUGAUAUCAUCAGGAACACCGGAGGCGAAGGCGGCUCACUGGGGGUCUUCUGACGCUGAGGAACGAAAGCCAGGGGAGCGAACGGG
rnacentral:rRNA from 1 species